UGGAGGUAGAGAUAGUGACCUAGUUCUCAUGGAGUAGCACUGUUUGACGAGGGCUCACUGGGAACAUGAUAUGGUGGUCCCUAGUUUUCCUGGUUUGCCUUCCCCAAAGUAAAAUCUCUGCCUUAUGAAUGAGCUGAACAGGAUCAACUGGGGCCCUGCUUUGGAUCAGCCUUACAUGCCUGGGGAGAGUUUCUAAUAUGAAUGAGGCUCCUUGGGGAAGAGAGACCUGAUCUCUCUGCUCCUCUUGCCUGGAAUAAAGCUCCUACAACAAGGGACUGAGAGAUGAGAAAAACCUGACAGCAUGCUCUUCACAAGUUGGAAAUGUAGCCCUACACUGAUGCUAUAAGGAAAGGGAGCCUCCAUCUUCAUCACUGUACUUACCAGAAUGAGAGUUCCUGGAACAUUUUCAUAAGAAGUGAUGUGGGGGAAGAAAAAGGACAGGAGUUCUAGUUUUGAAUGAUCACACACCAACUCUGAUCUGCUCAUCUAGAUUAAGAAUGAUCAAAGUGGAUACAGAAGAGAUAUAGAAGAUGUGAGGAGGAAGAAGGAAAGGAAGAAUUUCCCCAGGAGCAUAUGUUUUUACUGAUGUCCAUGUUGUGGGUGAUUGGAGUUUGAACCACAGUGGUGACUAUAAGCAUCAGCAUAGAAAGACACGAAUUUUGGAGACAUUUGGGAAGUCGGAAGGCUGCAGUUCUUAGCCUUUUAUUAUUCUUCCCUAAAGAGCUUUCUCUGACUAUACCCAUCUAUAGGAAUGCUUCUUAAGGGGCAAGGACUAGAUUUACAUUUUUUCCCAAUCCACCUUGUACUAAUACUUUUGUAAAAAGCAAUAAAAAUAAAUUAGUAGAAAAAUGAAAUAGAAA